rnacentral:rRNA from 1 species
CCUACGGGAGGCUGCAGUGGGGAAUAUUGCACAAUGGGCGCAAGCCUGAUGCAGCCAUGCCGCGUGUGUGAAGAAGGCCUUCGGGUUGUAAAGCACUUUCAGCGGGGAGGAAGGCGGUGAGGUUAAUAGCCUCAUCGAUUGACGUUACCCGCAGAAGAAGCACCGGCUAACUCCGUGCCAGCAGCCGCGGUAAUACGGAGGGUGCAAGCGUUAAUCGGAAUUACUGGGCGUAAAGCGCACGCAGGCGGUCUGUCAAGUCGGAUGUGAAAUCCCCGGGCUCAACCUGGGAACUGCAUUCGAAACUGGCAGGCUAGAGUCUUGUAGAGGGGGGUAGAAUUCCAGGUGUAGCGGUGAAAUGCGUAGAGAUCUGGAGGAAUACCGGUGGCGAAGGCGGCCCCCUGGACAAAGACUGACGCUCAGGUGCGAAAGCGUGGGGAGCAAACAGGAUUAGAUACCCUAGUAGUC